AGUGAACGCUGGCGGUAGGCCUAACACAUGCAAGUCGAACGGCAGCACAGAGGAGCUUGCUCCUUGGGUGGCGAGUGGCGGACGGGUGAGGAAUACAUCGGAAUCUACUCUGUCAUGGGGGAUAACGUAGGGAAACUCACGCUAAUACCGCAUACGACCUACGGGUGAAAGCAGGGGAUCUUCGGACCUUGCGCGAUUGAAUGAGCCGAUGUCGGAUUAGCUAGUUGGCGGGGUAAAGGCCCACCAAGGCGACGAUCCGUAGCUGGUCUGAGAGGAUGAUCAGCCACACUGGAACUGAGACACGGUCCAGACUCCUACGGGAGGCAGCAGUGGGGAAUAUUGGACAAUGGGCGCAAGCCUGAUCCAGCCAUACCGCGUGGGUGAAGAAGGCCUUCGGGUUGUAAAGCCCUUUUGUUGGGAAAGAAAUCCAUCUGGUUAAUACCCGGGUGGGAUGACGGUACCCAAAGAAUAAGCACCGGCUAACUUCGUGCCAGCCGCCGCGGUAA
rnacentral:rRNA from 1 species